CACGUAGGGUGCGAGCGUUGUCCGGAAUUAUUGGGCGUAAAGAGCUCGUAGGCGGUGUGUCGCGUCGGCCGUGAAAACCUGCAGCUUAACUCUGGGCGUGCGGUCGAUACGGGCAUCACUAGAGUUCGGCAGGGGAGACUGGAAUUCCUGGUGUAGCGGUGGAAUGCGCAGAUAUCAGGAGGAACAUCGAUAGCGAAGGCAGCUCGCUGGGACGGUACUGACGCUAAGGCGCGAAAGCGUGGGGAGCAAACAGG
rnacentral:rRNA from 1 species